rnacentral:rRNA from 1 species
CUACGGGAGGCUCCAGUGGGGAAUAUUGCACAAUGGAGGAAACUCUGAUGCAGCAACGCCGCGUGGAGGAUGACACUUUUCGGAGCGUAAACUCCUUUUAUAUAGGAAGAAGAUGACGGUACUAUAUGAAUAAGCGCCGGCUAACUCCGUGCCAGCAGCCGCGGUAAUACGGAGGGCGCAAGCGUUACUCGGAAUCACUGGGCGUAAAGAGCGUGUAGGCGGAUUAAAAAGUCAGAAGUGAAAUCCUACAGCUUAACUAUAGAACUGCUUCUGAAACUCUUAAUCUAGAAUAUGGGAGAGGUAGAUGGAAUUUCUGGUGUAGGGGUAAAAUCCGUAGAGAUCAGAAGGAAUACCGAUUGCGAAGGCGAUCUACUAGAACAUUAUUGACGCUGAGACGCGAAAGCGUGGGGAGUAAACAGGAUUAGAUACCCGAGUAGUC